rnacentral:rRNA from 1 species
AUUGAACGCUGGCGGCAGGCUUAACACAUGCAAGUCGAGCGGGGGAGGUUGCUUCGGUAACUGAUCUAGCGGCGGACGGGUGAGUAAUGCUUAGGAAUCUGCCUAUUAGUGGGGGACAACAUUCCGAAAGGGAUGCUAAUACCGCAUACGCCCUACGGGGGAAAGCAGGGGAUCUUCGGACCUUGCGCUAAGAGAUGAGCCUAAGUCGGAUUAGCUAGUUGGUGGGGUAAAGGCCUACCAAGGCGACGAUCUGUAGCGGGUCUGAGAGGAUGAUCCGCCACACUGGGACUGAGACACGGCCCAGACUCCUACGGGAGGCAGCAGUGGGGAAUAUUGGACAAUGGGCGGAAGCCUGAUCCAGCCAUGCCGCGUGUGUGAAGAAGGCCUUUUGGUUGUAAAGCACUUUAAGCGAGGAGGAGGCUACUAGUACUAAUACUACUGGAUAGUGGACGUUACUCGCAGAAUAAGCACCGGCUAACUCUGUGCCAGCAGCCGCAGUAAUAC